rnacentral:rRNA from 1 species
GACGAACGCUGGCGGCGCGCCUAACACAUGCAAGUCGAACGGAGCUUAGAGAGCUUGCUUUUUAAGCUUAGUGGCGAACGGGUGAGUAACGCGUGAGUAACCUGCCCUGGAGUGGGGGACAACAGUUGGAAACGACUGCUAAUACCGCAUAAGCCCACGGUACCGCAUGGCACUGAGGGAAAAACUCCGGUGGUCUGGGAUGGACCCGCGUCCGAUUAGUUAGUUGGUGGGGUAACGGCCCACCAAGACUGCGAUCGGUAGCCGACCUGAGAGGGUGACCGGCCACAUUGGGACUGAGACACGGCCCAGACUCCUACGGGAGGCAGCAGUGGGGAAUAUUGCACAAUGGAGGAAACUCUGAUGCAGCGACGCCGCGUGAGCGAAGAAGUAUUUCGGUAUGUAAAGCUCUGUCAGCAGGGAAGAUAAUGACGGUACCUGACCAAGAAGCCCCGGCUAACUACGUG